GGCGGGGCGCCUGCGCAGUGAGUAACGCGGCACCGGGUCCGCGCGGCGGGCGGCGUGGGCUCCACCACCCCCAACAUGUCUCGAGAGACUGGAAGUGAAUCGCAGCAGUCUCAAGGUGCCCAGCAGUCACAGAGUGGUACCAGUUCCUCUUCCAGUGGGUCACAGAGUACUAGUCAGUCUUCCUCAAGUUCUGGGACCCUCAGUUCUUUGGACACAGUUCCCACUCAGGAGCUUCCACCGAUCCCCGAGGACCAGGAAUCUGAAGAGCUUGUUCCUCAGCCUUGGGGUCGACUCUUUGCACUUGGAAAAGGUUUCAGCAAUUGUGACUGUGUGAAUGAUGAAUACUGGUUUGGAAGAGACAAAAGCUGUGAUUAUAGUUUUUCUAAGCUGGGAUUGUCUGAGACUGGCUUUUACCAAAACUAUAGCAAGAAGCAUUUCCGAAUUUUCAGGGAAAUGGGUCCAAAAAAUUCCUAUGUUGCCUACAUUGAAGACCACAGUGCAAAUGGAACUUUUGUUAAUAGAGAGCUUGUUGGAAAGGGGAAGAGGCUUCCACUGACUCACAACUCUGAAAUUGCGCUGUCUGUACAGAAUAAUAAGGUGUUUGUAUUUUCUGAUCUUAUGGUGGAUGAUCAGUUGGUGUUUCCUAGAGAAUUCAGAGAGAAAUACAUCAUGUCAAAGACUUUGGGAAGUGGUGCCUGUGGAGAAGUCAAACUGGCAUUUGAGAAGAGCACUUGUAACAAAGUUGCAGUAAAGAUAAUCAAUAAAAGGAAGUUUAUGGCAAGUGGUAUUAGUGAGGCAAACCCAGCUUUUAAUAUCAAUACAGAAAUUGAAAUUUUGAAGAAAAUAGAUCAUCCUUGCUUAAUCAAGAUCAAAAACUUCUUUGAAGCAGAAGAUUACUACAUUGUUUUGGAACUGAUGGAAGGAGGAGAAUUGUAUGACAGAGUGUCAAGGCCAAUCAAGAUGAAAGAAGCUACUUGCAAGUUGUAUUUUUAUCAGAUGCUGCUGGCUGUAAAGUAUCUUCAUGACAAUGGAAUUAUACACCGAGAUCUAAAGCCAGAGAAUGUGCUACUUUCAUCUUCUGAAGAGACAUGUCUUAUAAAGAUUACAGAUUUUGGACAAUCGAAGAUUCUUGGAGAAACUUCUCUUAUGAAAACAUUAUGUGGUACUCCCACGUAUCUUGCUCCCGAGGUUCUAAAUUCACUUGGGACUGCUGGAUACAGCCGAGCUGUGGACUGCUGGAGCUUAGGAGUUAUUCUUUUUGUAUGCUUGUGUGGAUAUCCACCAUUUAAUGAGCAGAAUACUCAACUAUCUCUGAAAGAUCAAAUCACUCGUGGAGAAUACACGUUCAUUUCAAAAGAAUGGAAGCAUGUAUCAGACAUGGCUCUGGAUCUUGUGAAGAAGCUGCUAGUAGUGGAUCCAAGCAAACGUCUUACAACAGAGGAAGCCUUAGAACAUCCUUGGCUUCAGUUCUAGAUAUCACACACGUUGAAUACUACCACCAAAAGAGCUCCUUGAGUCCUGUUACUCUGAGUAGUGAGGAGGAGUUACUGGCUCCCCACUCCCUCUUGUGUUGUCUAUCAGUUGUUCAGCUGGUGAACACACAGUCACUGUUCAAAGCUCAGCCAAAGGAAAUGGUGUGUAUUAAAUCACUAUGAGUGGCAUACUGUGUUUAGUCCUGGGAAAGGUUUAAAGGCCUGAUUUCAGGUUUGGAAGUCUGAUUUAGGAUUUGCAGGUAAUCCAUAGCAACUCACUCUAAUAAAAUACUGACAGAAGAAACUGCUGAAACUAGAGAAUGAGACUUUCUUUUAAAAUCAGGGAGUAUACUAUGUCAACUAAAAGUCUUGUCCACACCAAUUUCCUGUUCCCUGAGGCUGCCCAGCAUAGACCAAGAGCACCCUGGUUGCUGGCAGCUGAACCAGAAUGAGGUUACAUGCUAGCUUUUCUCUUGAAACAUGACUUUGUGCUGCCCUUCCCUCCCCUGUACUCUCCUUCCCUCCUCUUAAUGCUUCUGCAUCCAGGCCUGUUUAUGCACAACUGCGACUACUAAGUCCACUUCUUUUGCAACGCGUCUCUCCCAGAUACCUUCCCUCACUAAUGACAGCUCUGGCUUACACUUUAGGUAAAUAGAGAAUGAACUGUACUAUCCAGUGAACUUCUGAAGAGAUAUGAAUGCUCUAUGAUUAAUAUAAUGUGGUGAUAAUCAUUUGUGUUUUUAAAAGGGAAACUUCAGUGAAAUGUUUGCCCAUAUUCUGAAUAUUUGCUUUCUCAGUGUUUCCAGUUACAACCUUUAAUAUGUUCUAUGGAGUUACUUAGGUUAAGGAUAACUGUGGGAUGCUUUUUAAGGUAACGUUUUGUUUGAAAGUUUGGUGUGUGGGUUUGGGGUUUUUUGGUGUUUUUUUGGGGGUAUGGGUGUUUUAGCUGGUUCUUCUUUACCUACUGUGUAGAACAGGUUUGCUUUGGGGGACGGAGGGGGGUGGCGAUAAUGAAAACUACCCACAUUUGGGCUACUGAUGAAGCUGAGCUAGUGGAAAUGAAAAUAUGCUGUUAGAAAGGGAAGUCAUUAUGAGAACAGAAUGUAAGACUAUGAGGAAAAUACUUGUUUUUCAAGAGUGAUUAACUCUGUUUUGGUGAAAGCAUGCCCCAAAUCCUCAUGAGGCCUCUUCUGAUACGGCUAAUUACCUGCACAAACUCCUAUUCUGUAUAUUCUAUUCUUUCAAUGUUGUUCUACUUUGUUGAAUAUAACUGCAAGUUCAGUUUUAGCUUGACUAGUAGAAUGAAAUAGAACUAUUUUUUCUUACCAGCACUGUACAUAAUCCACCUGCUCAAAAUUCUACUGUGGGGCAUAUCAGAAUCAUAGAUACAUAGAAUGGUUUGGUUUGGAAGGGACCUUUUAAAGGUCAUCUAGUCCAACCCCUCUGUUAUGAGCAGGGACAUCUUCAACUAUAUCAGGUUGCCCAAAGCCUCAUCCAACCUGGCUUUGAACACUUCCAGGGAUGGGGCAUCUACCACCUUUCUGAGCAACCUGUUCCAGUGCCUCACCACCUUCAUUGUAAAAAAUUUCUUCCUUAUACCUAGUCUGAAUUUCCCCUCUUUUAGUUUAAAACCAUUACCCCUUGUGCUAUUGCUACAGGCCCUACUAAACUGUCCCUCUCCAUCUUUCUCAUAAGCCCCCUGUAAGUACUGGAAGGCUGCUAUAAGAUCUCCCCGGAGCCUUCUCUUCUCCAGGCUGAACAAUCCCAACUCUCUCAGCCUGUCUUCAUAGGAGAGGUGCUCCAGCCCUCUGAUCAUCUUCGUGGCUUCCUCUGGACUCGCUCCAACAGCUCUGUGUCUGUCUUUUACUGGGGACCCCAGAGCUGGAUGCAAUACUGCAGGGGUGUCUUACCAGACCGGAGCAGAGGGGCAGAAUCCCUUCCCUUAACCUGCUGGUCACGGUGCUGGGGAUGCAGCCCAGGAUAUGGCUGGCUUUCUGGGCUGCGAGCACACGUUGCUGGGUCAUGUCCACCUUUUCACCCACCAGCACCCCCAAGUCCUCCUCCUUAGGGCUGCUCUCAAUCCCUUCAUCACACUGUAUUGAUACGGGUGUUGCCCAAACCCAGUUGCAGGAGCUUGUACUUGGCAUUGUUGAACCUCAUGAGGUUCACAUGGGCCCAAUUCUCGAGCUUUUCCAGGUCCCUCUGACUGGUAUCCUGUCCCUUAGCCGUGCCAACCACACCGCUCAGCUUGGUGUCGUCUGCAGACUUGCUGAGAGUGCACUUAAUCCCACUAUGUCAUUGAUGAAGAUACUAAACAGUACUCAUCCCAAUUUGGACCCCUGAGGGAUACCACUUGUCACCAGUUUCCAUCUAGACAUUGAGCCGUUGACCACUACCCUCUGGAUGUGACCAUCCAACCAAUUCCUUAUCCACCGAAUAGUCCAUCCAUCAAAUCCUUAUCACUCCAGUUUAGAGCGAAGGAUGUUGUGGGGAACAGUGUCAAAGGCCUUACAGAAGUCCGGAGAGAUGACAUCUGUAGCUCUUCCCUUUUCCACUGAUGUAGUUACUCCAUUAUAGAAGGCCACUAGGUUGAUCGGACAAGACUUGCCUUUGGUGAAGCCAUGUUAGGAAGGUGUUUAUUUGGGGGGUAGUGGGGGAACCUCCUUUUCUCCUUCAUUCAUUCACUCUUUAAUUGCUGAUCCAUUUCAUUAGCCAAAAUGUAGGGGUUUCCCUUAAAUAUUCCUUAUACUACUUAGAGUUACUGUUUUGGGGUGUUUGGGUUUUGGGUUUUUUUUUU